GACCCAUUAGCUCAGUUGGCAGAGCACCUGACUUUUAAUCAGGGUGUCCCGCGUUCGAGUCGCGGAUGGGUCACCA
rnacentral:tRNA from 4 species